ACGCUCGACACCUACGGAAGGCAGCAGUCGGGAAUAUUGCGCAAUGGAGGAAACUCUGACGCAGUGACGCCGCGUGCAGGAAGAAGGUUUUCGGAUUGUAAACUGCUUUAGACAGGGAAGAAAGAAAUGACAGUACCUGUAGAAUAAGCUCCGGCUAACUACGUGCCAGCAGCCGCGGUAAUCUGAGCGGGCUGGCAAGGC
rnacentral:rRNA from 1 species